UACGUAGGGGGCUAGCGUUGUCCGGAUUUAUUGGGCGUAAAGAGCGUGUAGGCGGCCAGGUAGGUCUGGUGUGAAAACUCGAGGCUUAACCUCGAGAUGUCAUCGGAAACCAUCUGGCUAGAGUCCGGAAGAGGAGAGUGGAAUUCCUGGUGUAGCGGUGAAAUGCGCAGAUAUCGGGAGGAACACCAAUGGCGAAGGCAGCUCGCUGGGACGUGACUGACGCUGAGACGCGAAAGCGUGGGGAGCAAACAGG
rnacentral:rRNA from 1 species